AGUCGAACGAACUCUGGUAUUGAUUGGUGCUUGCAUCAUGAUUUACAUUUGAGUGAGUGGCGAACUGGUGAGUAACACGUGGGAAACCUGCCCAGAAGCGGGGGAUAACACCUGGAAACAGAUGCUAAUACCGCAUAACAACUUGGACCGCAUGGUCCGAGCUUGAAAGAUGGCUUCGGCUAUCACUUUUGGAUGGUCCCGCGGCGUAUUAGCUAGAUGGUGGGGUAACGGCUCACCAUGGCAAUGAUACGUAGCCGACCUGAGAGGGUAAUCGGCCACAUUGGGACUGAGACACGGCCCAAACUCCUACGGGAGGCAGCAGUAGGGAAUCUUCCACAAUGGACGAAAGUCUGAUGGAGCAACGCCGCGUGAGUGAAGAAGGGUUUCGGCUCGUAAAACUCUGUUGUUAAAGAAGAACAUAUCUGAGAGUAACUGUUCAGGUAUUGACGGUAUUUAACCAGAAAGCCACGGCUAACUACGUGCCAGCAGCCGCGGUAAUACGUAGGUGGCAAGCGUUGUCCGGAUUUAUUGGGCGUAAAGCGAGCGCAGGCGGUUUUUUAAGUCUGAUGUGAAAGCCUUCGGCUCAACCGAAGAAGUGCAUCGGAAACUGGGAAACUUGAGUGCAGAAGAGGACAGUGGAACUCCAUGUGUAGCGGUGAAAUGCGUAGAUAUAUGGAAGAACACCAGUGGCGAAAGCGGCUGUCUGGUCUGUAACUGACGCUGAGGCUCGAAAGUAUGGGUAGCAAACAGGAUUAGAUACCCUGGUAGUCCAUACCGUAAACGAUGAAUGCUAAGUGUUGGAGGGUUUCCGCCCUUCAGUGCUGCAGCUAACGCAUUAAGCAUUCCGCCUGGGGAGUACGGCCGCAAGGCUGAAACUCAAAGGAAUUGACGGGGGCCCGCACAAGCGGUGGAGCAUGUGGUUUAAUUCGAAGCUACGCGAAGAACCUUACCAGGUCUUGACAUACUAUGCAAAUCUAAGAGAUUAGACGUUCCCUUCGGGGACAUGGAUACAGGUGGUGCAUGGUUGUCGUCAGCUCGUGUCGUGAGAUGUUGGGUUAAGUCCCGCAACGAGCGCAACCCUUAUUAUCAGUUGCCAGCAUUAAGUUGGGCACUCUGGUGAGACUGCCGGUGACAAACCGGAGGAAGGUGGGGAUGACGUCAAAUCAUCAUGCCCCUUAUGACCUGGGCUACACACGUGCUACAAUGGAUGGUACAACGAGUUGCGAACUCGCGAGAGUAAGCUAAUCUCUUAAAGCCAUUCUCAGUUCGGAUUGUAGGCUGCAACUCGCCUACAUGAAGUCGGAAUCGCUAGUAAUCGCGGAUCAGCAUGCCGCGGUGAAUACGUUCCCGGGCCUUGUACACACCGCCCGUCACACCAUGAGAGUUUG
rnacentral:rRNA from 1 species